rnacentral:rRNA from 1 species
CAGUAGCCGCGGUAAUACGUAGGGUGCGAGCGUUAAUCGGAAUUACUGGGCGUAAAGCGUGCGCAGGCGGUUGUGUAAGACAGGUGUGAAAUCCCCGGGCUUAACCUGGGAACUGCGCUUGUGACUGCACAGCUAGAGUAUGACAGAGGGGGGUAGAAUUCCACGUGUAGCAGUGAAAUGCGUAGAGAUGUGGAGGAAUACCGAUGGCGAAGGCAGCCCCCUGGGCCAAUACUGACGCUCAUGCACGAAAGCGUGGGGAGCAAACAGGAUUAGAUACCCCAGUAGUCCCUGUCUCUUAUAA